GACGAACGCUGGCGGCGUGCUUAACACAUGCAAGUCGAACGCUGAACCCGCUUCGGUGGGGGAUGAGUGGCGAACGGGUGAGUAACACGUGGGCAACCUGCCCCCGGCUCUGGGAUAACUCCAAGAAAUUGGGGCUAAUACCGGAUGUGACCGCUGGCCGCAUGGUCUGGUGGUGGAAAGGGUUUCCGGCUGGGGAUGGGCCCGCGGCCUAUCAGCUUGUUGGUGGGGUAGUGGCCUACCAAGGCGACGACGGGUAGCCGGCCUGAGAGGGUGACCGGCCACACUGGGACUGGGACGCGGCCCAGACUCCUACGGGAGGCAGCAGUGGGGAAUAUUGCGCAAUGGGCGGAAGCCUGACGCAGCGACGCCGCGUGGGAGAUGACGGCCUUCGGGUUGUAAACCUCUUUCAGCAGGGACGAAGCGCAAGUGACGGUACCUGCAGAAGAAGCACCGGCCAACUACGUG
rnacentral:rRNA from 1 species